rnacentral:rRNA from 1 species
GUGGCGUGAUCGGUCCGCGUGCCGGUCGUGCGUGCGAGCGGUGAGGGCAGGACGGCGGAGGACAGACCGAGGAAGGGUCGGAGGCGGCGCGCGGCGGUGAAUGGCAGCGCAGUGGAAGAGACGAAGAGGGGUCGGCCGCUGGUGGCGUCUUUGCAUCACGCGACGGACCCGCAGAUGCAGCGACGUGCGGACGUGUGCCGCCUCCUCGAGGGCCAAUGAAGCCGUCUUAGACUUUUGGCUCGGUUUAACGGGGAACGACGAGGUGCGGCCUGAGCGGUGGCCUCCUCCUCCCGGUUCUAUUUGUUUUGGCUUAGGCUUAUUUCGGCCGUUCAGUUACGUCAAGCGCUAGUGGUGGCGGCAGAGGCGCUUGGGCGUAGACUUCGGAGACCAGAGGAAGGGCGCCGGCAGCGGGGGCGUGGCCCAGGCUCAGGUGGGAGGAACGGUGGCGGACUUGUGCUCCCGCUCGCAGUACCGGAGGAGCCGCGGCGACCUCGAGUGGUAGUGCGCGGGGCUGCUGACCGUGGAGGUGGAGGCACUGCCGCUGCACUACCGGCGCCACGAGGGGGUGUCGCGCUCCGUGAAACUCUCUCGGUAGCACUACGGGUUGGACUUCGGUGGCCAAUGAUGUUGCCGUGCACGCUAGCGCAUGUCUCUACUCUAGGAGUUCCGCGACGGAGGGCCCUCGUCGAAGCACGGCGAGUACUGCGAGAUGGAGUGCCUGUCCUGAUCGGGCCUCCUUUAAUUCUAGCGUUCUUUCUCACCACACCAAAAACGACAGUUCAACAUAGGACGACCUCGUUGAUGAUUGAGGGUUCUACCGCAUUGACUAUAAAACCCCUUUACGAACGGACAGGAACUUCUCUACCAGUUCGUCCUUUACGGAAAUGAACAAGUACCUCUUCAGUGUCUAGGAGUACAGCUGUGGAAACUGGCACUCUUCCAGAAGUAACUCUUUUAUAAUCGUGGUGAACAUGUUUUUGAAGGUGUCGACUUUUAACAAUACCUUGUAUAGUGAUGCUACCUACGUCACUUGAAGCAUCUUAGUACGUUUCUUCCAGUACAACGACGUUGUCACUGAGGCGUCGUAGAGGAAGAUUUGUCCUUACGCAACAAAGUCCCACCAAAUGUCGGAGUGUUAAUAACGAACGGUCACGACUUCUCUCUUUGGGUGUCCGUUCGAUAACAAAGACGACAUUGUUCACCCUCGUCUGUUAUGAAAGAACCGUGACUGUCACGAGGGGUACUAUUUGCCGACUUCCUCACAAGGACACCUACACGUCCUUAUAUAUCACGAGGACAACGAGAAAGAGAAAUACGCUUCCAUAAACUUCUCCGGCCACGAGAACUAUUCGAUCUCCGCAAAUGUUCGAAGUUACCCGGUCUAAAAAUACCAGAGGGUUCCUUGUGUAGUUUCUGACAAGACUCUUCCUCAGGGACCUUUCACGGACGUUGAAUACGCAUGCCAAGUCCUCACUAACACGGAUACAGGUGGCCGUUGUGAGACCUUACCGAAGGCGGGCUAGUCGGGCUUCUUAUUCGUUUAAUGUCUGCCAGGUAAACCCCCUCUUUGUUAUUCACCUCGGCAAGGUAGAGGGGGGAAAGACAUCUUACGCGGACUGUUUGUUCCAAAACCAACAUCUGAAUGGGGCACACCCUAAGAAUUUUAGUUGAAACAUUCUUGUUGAAUAAGGUUCGUUCUCGCUUUUUCAGAAGCAGACUUAUUUUCUUUUCUCCAAGAACAACUCAAU